UACGUAGGGGCGCAAGCGUUUAUCCGGAAUUAUUGGGCGUAAAGAGCUCGUAGGCGGUUUGUCGCGUCUGCCGUGAAAGUCCGGGGCUCAACUCCGGAUCUGCGGUGGGUACGGGCAGACUAGAGUGAUGUAGGGGGAGACUGGAAUUCCUGGUGUAGCGGUGAAAUGCGCAGAUAUCAGGAGGAACACCGAUGGCGAAGGCAGGUCUCUGGGCAUUAACUGACGCUGGGGGAGCGAAAAGCAUGGGGGAGCGAACAGG
rnacentral:rRNA from 1 species